GGGGGAAAGGACUGGGGAGUCUUCGGACCUGGCACUAGUAGAUGAGCCCGCGUUAGAUUAGCUUGUUGGUGGGGUAAGUGGCCUACCAAGGCGACGAUCUAUAGCUGGUCUGAGAGGACGAUCAGCCACACUGGGACUGAGACACGGCCCAG
rnacentral:rRNA from 1 species